CCAGGGUGUUUAUGACCUGUCCCUGGCUCCACACAGCUCUUGUCAAUUUCUUCUAUUUGUCACUCUGAACUGUCAUUUAUAGUGAUAAGAAAAGAACAGAAGGCUCAGUAGAGGCGAACACCGAGGGAUGUUAAAGACAUCUGAGGACUCCCUGUUUUGCAUUUUGAGGACUAUUUUGAUCUCUGCCAGUUCAAAGUGGCCAAGAGUAAUUAUCUCAGCUCCUAAAUACAUUCUCAUCUCUAUUCUCUGGAUAAUGACUGUCGACUCCAGGAGUCUGUAAGAUCCAUGAAUAUGUAUGCCCCGAACUGUAUGAUGAGGCCUCAAAACAGCAUCAGGGCUCAUAGUGAUCUUCAAAGGAAAGAAAUUAUGGCAUGUAACUAGAACAAUCGGUCAGAAUGGAAAUCAGAUGGACCAAGUCUCCCAAGAAUCCCAGCUAUGAACAUUGUGUCAGCAGUUGUUAUAUUCCAUCCAUUUCCUGUCCUUCUGCUCACCGCCUGCUUAUUGAUGCCAGAGGACAUCAUGUCCCCAUGCAUGCUGAUUCUCCUACAAACUCAGACAAUCUAACCUCAGCUGGCUUUUCACUAAUAUCCAAAAUAUUUGGGCCACUCACUCUCAUGCUGUUGUUCUCAAGCUCCCAUCCAUUUCUUGAUCCCCUUAGCAAAAUGAUCUUGCCCCCAAACUUCAAUGAAAAAAAUCAAGGUCAUUCAACGUGACCUACUAAAAUUCCCUUUUCCUCACUUUAAAAUACCUAUCUUCUCUCAUUUUUUAAAGAAAGAAAAAUGUUCCUUUUCUUCUCUAAGUCUAGAUUUCCACUUGCCUUUGAGAAUCUUUCCAGGAUAUUGGUCCAUCAUUUACAAUGUUCUCUUCUUCAGUUCUAUUUUCUCUUCUCCUCUUUCCUACUCCUCUUGCCUAUAAAAACACCUAAAUUUCUCUUUAAUCUUAAAUAUUUUAGCUAAAUCCUCUCAAGCUAAACCCUUCUCUACCUUUCCAUUUACUUCCAGAUUUGCCUAAUGACCCAUAUUUACCACUUCUUUCACUCUUUGCAGUCUUGAU
ensembl:lncRNA